rnacentral:rRNA from 1 species
UACAGGGGGGGCAAGCGUUGUUCGGAAUUACUGGGCGUAAAGGGCUCGUAGGUGGCCGACUAAGUCAGACGUGAAAUCCCUCAGCUUAACUGGGGAACUGCGUCUGAUACUGGAUGGCUUGAGUUUGGGAGAGGGAUGCGGAAUUCCAGGUGUAGCGGUGAAAUGCGUAGAUAUCUGGAGGAACACCGGUGGCGAAGGCGGCAUUCUGGACCAUAACUGACACUGAGAGACGAAAGCCAGGGGAGCAAACGGG